rnacentral:lncRNA from 1 species
AGGCCAGGUGUCGCCUCCUGCGCAGUCAUCGCCUUGAGACCCGAGCGUUAUCUCCUGUGGCAGAUGGUCUGGGCGACGCUGUGUGGCCCAGAGCCAUGUGGCAGGCGGGAUAAGCCUCACGCGGGGGGCAGCGCUCUUCGGACAGUGUCUCCAGACCAGACACAACUGCCAUGCAGACAGAAGUUCAGAGUGGGAGCCGUGUGGGCGCCAGACCCCUGCUCCGCACCUGCUAUGGCGUAGGGAACUACCCCGUGAUGCCGCAGGGACGUUGUUCGGUGACAGGCGGCAACGGCACACACGGGGCUGGGUGCCGCGUAACGUGGGCAACAGACAGCAGCUGCGCGUCAGCUGCUGUGUGGUGCUGACAGAUACACACACCAGAUGUAGCCUCCCAGGUUUUCUGAGGGGGCGCCUUCUGUCCUUCAGGGUCAGAGAAACGGGCUGCAUUUCCGAGACAGAGACACAGCCGUUUCCCCUCCCCUUGGCUCGCCUCUUGAGCAGGGGUACUCUGGGGCUUCCCCUUCCCCUGUGGGUGGGCAUAUUGGGCCGGGUCUGCACGCGGGGUCUCGGUGUGCAGUGCUCUGUGGGCGCACGUGACCGGCGGGGGGGGGGGAGGGCGGGGGCAGAUGGCGGAAAGUGGCGUAUCCUCACUUUGGAGCUGGUGUCAUUGGGACUUGGGGUGAGAGGGAAGACCGGCAGUGACAGCUGUGGUUCCGGCCGUGUGGGCUCUGGUGUCCUGUUUGCCGAGGCGAGCUGCCGGCGCACGGAGCAGUGUCCCAGCCUCAGUGCCGGCCUGGGGAGGAUCCUGUGGACCCACAGGAAGUGA